AUAUGAAUUGCAGAUUUUGUGAAUCAUCGAAUCUUUGAACGCACAUUGCGCCCGUGGGUAUUCCCGCGGGCAUGCGUGUGUGAGCGGUUAUCUCCCUCGCAGGUAAUGGACAUACGGCGUCAGCUGUUCCUCCAAAAAGUGAUUGGUGUAGUAUUACAGUUUACUCACAACCAUACUUUUUCCCUCACACACGUAAGACUACCCGCUGAACUUAAGCAUAUCAAUAAGCGGAGGAAAAGAAACCAACCGGGAUUGCCUCAGUAACGGCGAGUGAAGCGGCAAAAGCUCAAAUUUGAAAUCCUUCGGGAGUUGUAAUUUGUAGAGGGGUGUCUUUGGGGCGGCAUUGUCUAUGUUCCUUGGAACAGGACGUCACAGAGGGUGAGAAUCCCGUGCGAUGAUGCCUCAACCAGUACAAGACCCUCUCGACGAGUCGAGUUGUUUGGGAAUGCAGCUCUAAGUGGGUGGUAAAUUCCAUCUAAAGCUAAAUACUGGCGAGAGACCGAUAGCGAACAAGUACAGUGAUGGAAAGAUGAAAAGCACUUUGAAAAGAGAGUGAAACAGUACGUGAAAUUGUUGAAAGGGAAGGGUAGGAGGUGAGGGGAAGAGCUGCUUAGGCGCGGGAGAUAAACAAGCAGGAAGCGCUUCGGUGCGGCCUGGUAAAUAUCCCGUGCUUGUGUGGUUCUUCCGUAAUCCCCUUCUACCGCCCGUCUUGAAACACGGACCAAGGAGUCUAACGUCUAUGCGAGUGUUUGGGUGUCAAACCCGUACGCGAAAUGAAAGUGAAAGAUUGCAGCCUCGGCGCACAAUCGACCGACCAUGAUUUAUCUACGGUUUGAGUGGAGCAUAGCUGUUGGGACCCGAAAGAUGGUGAACUAUACCUGAGC
rnacentral:rRNA from 1 species